rnacentral:ncRNA from 1 species
UUAUUUUUAUAGCAAGCUUAAUUUAAUAAAAUAGGCGCAGAUAAAUCAAGUUUUAAAAAGCUUUCUUAGUUAUAAAAAUAAGACCCGAAACUGAGUGAUCUAACCAUGAACAGAUUGAAAAAUAGGUAAAACUAUUUGAAGGAUCGAACUCACAUAUGUGGCAAAAUAUGGAGAUGAUUUGUGGUUAGGAGUGAAAGGCUAAUCAAACUCAGAGAUAGCUGG